CUGUAAUCGCCCACACCUAUCAAAAAGCGGGGUUCUUCGUCUCGACGGAAUCGAUCUCCAUCUGGUUUAAGAGCUCCUCCAGCUGCGAUGGAAUCAAUCUCCAUCUCCGAUUAGGAAACCUCAGAGAAAGCGGGGUUCUUCGUCCGCGACGGGGCAAGGAAGAGGGAGAAGAAAUUGUCUACCUAAUUAAGAUACGUUGCUUCUGGAGUAAAAGCUACAACACAGGACCGUACUGCUUUUCAGUUUGUACAUACAAAGAGUUUUGUGAGCUUGUUCAUUCAUUGGCCAACAUUUAUAUAUGUAGCAUCAUCACCCGUUUGUGUUUUCAGUGCCUGCAACUUUGCUGGUCCACAGAUACUCUGUAGUCUGUGAAACAUUGGUAACGAACGUGAGAAUGAAAGAUUUUGGGGUUUAUGCUAGUUCCAAGAAGCAGUAAAUUAAUUCCCAGUUAACAAAAACCAGAUGAUACAUGACAGAGCACCUCCAACAACCUUGGGGUUUAUGCUUGUUGCAAUAACAACUCCUUGAUCAACACAGAAGCCUUCCAGGUAUUUGUGAAACAAUACAGCUUGUGAGUCGAGCAAACUCAAAGUCAGAGAAACAUCACUGACAAUGGAAAAUCAGAGAAAGAAUUGGUCAGACAUUUUGUUUUCUUUUUUAAUUUAAAAAAUGGGUUAUGCAAUUAUGAAAGUGAGAAGGACCACAAUAUGAAUUAGAUUUACCUGUCGGUUUUAAUAGUUGCCAUUUCAUGACAGAGCACAUCCAGCAAUCUUGGGGUUCAUGCUUGUCACAAAGCUCACUGAUGAGGCCUACAAAGAAAUCAAGAUGUCAAUAUCUAACCAUUUCCAAAUGUUGAUCCUGGGAUAAAGAGAGACGAAGAUGAUUACCGGGAAGGCGUGGGUUCAUGUUACCCCCAAGUAUCUCACUGUGAUUACAGAAUUUUUAUGACUAAGAUCACCAUGAAUUGUUGCCAAAAAAUGAUCAUCAUGAAUUACCUGUUUUUUUGAAACACUUGGUAUUUUAUUUUUUAUUGAAA